GCUACCGCAUCAAAAGUUCAAAAUAUAGUACCCUCUGUAUUCCGCCUAGCUUUAGCGCCGAUCUGUGUGAAGUUGUGCCCUAAUCUCCGGUGGUUUAUCUGUGUUUUAUCAAAAACAGAUUGUGGAAUCUGGUCGUGUGUGAAGCUCUGCCCUAAUCUCCGGUGGUUUAUCUGUGUUUUCUCAAAAACAUAUUGUGAAUCUGGUCGUGUGUGAAGCUCUGCCCGAAUCUCCGCAGAUUGUGUUUUCUCAAGGUAUGCCUCCUCUUUCAAGUUGCUCUUUUUCUUCUCUAAGUGUGCUGAUUUCGCUGAUUGCAGCUUUAUUCGAGUUCUUCUACUUCUUCUUCUUCUAACAUUAAAAAAUUGGUAAGAUUUCAUUAUCUGUUAUUUUUUCGUUUAUAUAAUCAAUGGAAAGAUUAUUGGGUUGGGCUUCCUGAUAUGAUUGUUUAAUUUUCUGAUGUGUAUUCAAGUUUGUAGCGUGUUGUCUGAAGAAUUUUAUUUCAUUCCGAGCGCAUACCAGUUUUGAAAAAGCUAAUUAUUUCAUGAAAUACAAACCAAUAAAAGCAUGUUUAGCAGCUUACGUAUAACUUCCAAAUUAGAGAAUAUUUGAGAUGUAUGGAAGUAAAGAAGAACUAGAGUAGCAAUGGUUGCACAAGAAACAGAGAUUCAAAUGAUUGAAGGUUACCUUUCCUCUCAGAUUCAAAAUCAAAGAUCUGGUAGAAAGGAUCCAAUAGUGUGACCUGAUCUUCUUCUUUGAUCUGUCAAAAGUGACAGUUUAUAAUCUUAUAAUGUGAGAAUAUAAGGUCUUAUAAUAUGAAAAUCUAAGGGGAAACUGAGCAAAUGAACAUCAGCAAGUGACUCAAACCAGAAUUCUCUUUACUCACUGCACACUAAUACACUCUUCUUUUUGGUACAUACACUAAUCUACUCUCUGCUCUCUCACAAACAAGAAGAAAUUUAUUUCAUUCCGAGCGCAUACCAAUUGUAUUCAGUGAGGGAUUUUGCGAGCCAAAACAGGGACUAGCGUUGUUACUCCUAUUGCAAUUUUGAUUUUAUAUCUCCCAAUAUUGUAUUCACUGUAAUAUUAAUUAACAACCACUGAACUAUAAUCUGCAAUAACAUCUAGUUCAAUUAUUAUAUGCAUGUACUAUUUUAUUUGUUAGGAAAAAAAAUAAUCAGUGAGAUCAUAGUCAUUCCUUUUAUUGACUUUGAUCGUCGAACCUAUUUUUGAGUAGAGACGUUUGACGAUAAUACAACAGAUGAACUUCUUACACAGUACCUCCGAACUAAAAAACCAGCAGACAUAUUGGUGUAUGUAUUUUACAUAUGAAAAAAGUUUUUAUUUUUCUCUGUUCUUUCUUGAUCAUCCAUAACUAUAAGGAGAAGUUAGUUUAUGAGUCAAGCAAUGUCAAACAUACAACUAAUAGUGUAUUCACCUAUAUUUUCUUUUAUAUAACUAAGCAAUAGGAUAUGGGUGUUUGUUUGUAAGAAAAAAAAAUAGCAGGAAACAUGAAUCAUGAUACAUGUUAAGAACUUAGAGAAAUUCAUGAGCUCACACUAACUAGCAAGAAGCAGUCUUUUAGUCGCGCGCGACUAUUUUGGAUGAUCUUGUAUCGUAAAGUAUACUAUUUAUAUUUUUCGUUGGUGUAAGUACUUAUUUCGACCCCGGAGCAGGCUAGAAGGAACCAUGUAUGCAUGUUUUUGGAACCAGCAUCUUUAAUACAAGUUAAUUUAUAAUCUAUUAUUUAUCUUAGUGUCAUCUGAUUGUAUAUUACAAUGUACUAACUGAAAACAAAGGAUCCGAGUCGACUAGAAAGUGCGACCUUAGAGUAGAACCAGUUGUGUUUAUUUGAUCGUAACAAGUAGUAUGAAUCGUAGUAUUUUUCUUAUCUUUUAUCUUUAUUUAAUUUAAUUUUUAUUUACUCUCCAAGGUUAUGGCACCUAGUAAGCAAUGAAUGCAACUUGUUGAUAAUCGGCUCGAUGAAGCCUACUUAAUCGGAG
rnacentral:lncRNA from 1 species